GAUGAAGAACGUAGCGAAAUGCGAUACUUGGUGUGAAUUGCAGAAUCCCGUGAACCAUCGAGUCUUUGAACGCAAGUUGCGCCCGAAGCCGUCAGGCCGAGGGCACGCCUGCCUGGGCGUCACACGCCGUUGCCCCCCCGCGCCCCGCACCCAACGCUUUGGGAGCGACCGCGGGGCGGGCUGAUGAUGGCCUCCCGUGCGCUCCGCCGCGCGGUUGGCCCAAAUACCGAGUCCCCGGCGACGUGCGCCACGACGAUCGGUGGUUGAGAGACCUCUGUCGCAAGUCGUGCGCGCCCGUCGCGUCACGCGGGCUCGCAUAGCGCCUCGCGCCGCAACCGGUGCGGAGCUUUCAACGCGACCCCAGGUCAGGCGGGGUUACCCGCUGAAUUUAAGCAUAUCAAUAAGCGGAGGA
rnacentral:misc_RNA from 1 species